ensembl:lncRNA
GGAAAAGUGGCAAAGAAGAGAGGGACACUGGAGGGAGAUAGGCGGCGUUCAUUGUUUUCAAAAUGAAUCGGUCACAACACAGUUCACCAGAAUGAUAGAUAGUGAGCGGAAAAAGAUCAGGUCAGCCGCACACUGGUGAUUGGGUGUGCAAUGACAGCAUACGAAUAGAGGAAAAAAAAACAAGAGGAAGAAGAUAAAGAAAAUUGAGUAUGAGUCGUCAGCAGCAGGAGUCCCAGGGAGUGGUUUUGACGGGUUACCAUAGCAACACCGAACUACUGCCGAAAAGCGGAAUAAUUGCAGCGGACACCGACCCAAUGCAUCCGAGGAACAUGUUUCCUCACUGAAUAGCCCACCUUUAUGUGAAAUAACAGCUUUAGAUAGCUAAUCUGGCCUUGUUCUAUUGCUUGUAGCUAAUGCCUGUAGGUAGCCACCUCUGAUAAUAUAGAAUAACUAGACACCCAACCUACAUUUAUGU